rnacentral:rRNA from 1 species
GAUGAACGCUGGCGGCGUGCCUAACACAUGCAAGUCGAGCGAAUGGAUUAAGAGCUUGCUCUUAUGAAGUUAGCGGCGGACGGGUGAGUAACACGUGGGUAACCUGCCCAUAAGACUGGGAUAACUCCGGGAAACCGGGGCUAAUACCGGAUAACAUUUUGAACCGCAUGGUUCGAAAUUGAAAGGCGGCUUCGGCUGUCACUUAUGGAUGGACCCGCGUCGCAUUAGCUAGUUGGUGAGGUAACGGCUCAUCAAGGCAACGAUGCGUAGCCGACCUGAGAGGGUGAUCGGCCACACUGGGACUGAGACACGGCCCAGACUCCUACGGGAGGCAGCAGUAGGGAAUCUUCCGCAAUGGACGAAAGUCUGACGGAGCAACGCCGCGUGAGUGAUGAAGGCUUUCGGGUCGUAAAACUCUGUUGUUAGGGAAGAACAAGUGCUAGUUGAAUAAGCUGGCACCUUGACGGUACCUAACCAGAAAGCCACGGCUAACUACGUGCCAGCAGCCGCAGUAA